CUACGGGAGGCAGCAGUGAGGAAUUUUGCGCAAUGGGGGAAACCCUGACGCAGCAACGCCGCGUGAGUGAAGAAGGCUUUCGGGUCGUAAAGCUCUGUCAGGUGGGAAAAAAGCCUUUUGAUCAAUAGUCAAGAGGUUUGAUGGUACUACUAGAGGAAGCACCGGCUAACUCCGUGCCAGCAGCCGCGGUAAGACGGAGGGUGCAAGCGUUGUUCGGAAUUACUGGGCGUAAAGAGCGUGUAGGCGGUAUGGUAAGUCAGAUGUGAAAGCCCUGGGCUUAACCCAGGAAGUGCAGUUGAUACUGGCAUGCUUGAGUAUGGGAGAGGAGAGUGGAAUUCCCAGUGUAGAGGUGAAAUUCGUAGAGAUUGGGAGGAACACCCGUGGCGAAGGCGACUCUCUGGACCAAUACUGACGCUGAGACGCGAAAGCGUGGGGAGCAAACAGGAUUAGAUACCCGCGUAGUC
rnacentral:rRNA from 1 species